UCCUUUGACGUAGCGGCGGACGGGUGAGUAACACGUGGGUAACCUACCUAUAAGACUGGGACAACUUCGGGAAACCGGAGCUAAUACCGGAUAAUAUGUUGAACCGCAUGGUUCAAUAGUGAAAGAUGGUUUUGCUAUCACUUAUAGAUGGACCCGCGCCGUAUUAGCUAGUUGGUGAGGUAACGGCUCACCAAGGCAACGAUACGUAGCCGACCUGAGAGGGUGAUCGGCCACACUGGAACUGAGACACGGUCCAGACUCCUACGGGAGGCAGCAGUAGGGAAUCUUCCGCAAUGGGCGAAAGCCUGACGGAGCAACGCCGCGUGAGUGAUGAAGGUCUUAGGAUCGUAAAACUCUGUUAUUAGGGAAGAACAAACGUGUAAGUAACUGUGCACGUCUUGACGGUACCUAAUCAGAAAGCCACGGCUAACUACGUGCCAGCAGCCGCGGUAAUACGUAGGUGGCAAGCGUUAUCCGGAAUUAUUGGGCGUAAAGCGCGCGUAGGCGGUUUUUUAAGUCUGAUGUGAAAGCCCACGGCUCAACCGUGGAGGGUCAUUGGAAACUGGAAAACUUGAGUGCAGAAGAGGAAAGUGGAAUUCCAUGUGUAGCGGUGAAAUGCGCAGAGAUAUGGAGGAACACCAGUGGCGAAGGCGACUUUCUGGUCUGUAACUGACGCUGAUGUGCGAAAGCGUGGGGAUCAAACAGGAUUAGAUACCCUGGUAGUCCACGCCGUAAACGAUGAGUGCUAAGUGUUAGGGGGUUUCCGCCCCUUAGUGCUGCAGCUAACGCUAAGCACUCCGCCUGGGGAGUACGA
rnacentral:rRNA from 1 species